GACGAACCGUGCGAACGUUGUUCGGAAUCACUGGGCUUAAAGGGCGCGUAGGCGGGCUGCCAAGUCUAUGGUGAAAUCCUCCGGCUCAACCGGAGAACGGCCGUGGAUACUGGCGGUCUCGAGGGAGAUAGGGGCAAGCGGAACUGUGCGUGGAGCGGUGAAAUGCGUUGAUACGCACAGGAACUCCGGUGGCGAAGGCGGCUUGCUGGAUCUCUUCUGACGCUGAGGCGCGAAAGCUAGGGGAGCGAACGGG
rnacentral:rRNA from 1 species